GGUGGGAAAGACGAGACAACUGAGCACCUGUUCAAGAAAUCAGGAGUUUCACUGCCCCUCGUCCUGGUAUUUAACCGUCAUCGGAGGCUGACCUGCGGCUCUCCCCCAGACGUGCCCGGCUGGUCUUGCCGCUGGCGUCGCUUUAUCCCUGAUAGUGUGAGGAGUCGACGGAAUCCUUUGAUGUCAUCAGUCGUAGUUUGGACCGCCACCUUUGCGUCAUCAGCGGUUAUUUCCUGUCAUCAGUUGAAGUCACUGAAGGACACAGGAAGGGGACAUUGAUGGUCAACGGAAGGGCGAAGUUUUAAGGCGGUGCGAUUAUUUUCAAGGUCCAGUCAGACGCAGCGCUCUAGCUGCCGCUCCGGGUCACUCGGCUCUGAAAGGAUCUCUCUGCCUCCUCAGAUGUGGUCCCAGCUCUGCCCACUGACAUCCUCAAAUAUGCCCAGAAACAGCCGACACAGCUUCAGCUCCUGGAACACACCAUGAAAUCCUGCCUGCUGCUGAGAUUUGGAUGAACCAGAAUCUCCGUUUCUUCCUUUUCUUGUGUAGAAACAUCAGGACCAGCUCGUCAUUGCAGGAAAGAUUCACCACGUGCUCGGUGUGGAAUGCCCUGAAGUUGGCAUAAAGUUAUGAAAUGCUUUGAGCAAGAAUAGAAACAUGCUGAAAUAAAACUACAUUAAAGUAUUUUUACUCAGCAGCUGAUGA